GUUCCACGACGUUGUAAAAUCGACGUCAGUGACGUUAUACGAUCACUAUAGGGCGAUGAAUUUUAAGCGUCGCGAAUCGCCUGUGCCAAGCAGCCGCGGUAAUUCCAGCUCCAAUAGCGUAUACUAAAGUUGUUGCGGUUAAAAAGCUCGUAGUUGGAUCUUGGAAUGUGUUCAAGCGGGUCAGCUUCUGGCUGUGCGCUGCUUGACGUGUUCUUCUAUUUGGUUUUGGUGCGGUGCGCUUAACUGCGUGUCGCUCCCGGCCGAAACGUUUACCUUGAAAAAAUUAGAGUGUUCAAAGCAGACCUGUUUGAGUCUGAAUAUUCGUGCAUGGAAUAAUGAAAUAUGAAUUCGGUUCUAUUUUGUUGGUUUUCGGAACUCGAGUUAAUGAUCAAGAGGGACAGACGGGGGCAUUCGUACUCUGCCGUUAGAGGUGAAAUUCUUGGAUCGGCGGAAGACGCGCAACUGCGAAAGCAUUUGCCAAGAAUGUUUUCUUUAAUCAAGAACGAUAGUCGGAGGUUCGAAGACGAUCAGAUACCGUCCUAGUUUCGACUGUAAACUAUGCCAGCUAACGAUCAGACAGAGUUCUCUACGACUUGUCUGGCAGUUUCCGGGAAACCAAAGCGUUUGGGUUCCGGGGGAAGUAUGGUUGCAAAGCUGAAACUUAAAGGAAUUGACGGAAGGGCACCACCAGGAGUGGAGCCUGCGGCUUAAUUUGACUCAACACGGGGAAACUCACCCGGCCCGGACACAGUGAGGAUUGACAGAUUGAGAGUUCUUUCUUGAUUCUGUGGGUGGUGGUGCAUGGCCGUUCUUAGUUGGUGGAGCGAUUUGUCUGGUUAAUUCCGAUAACGAACGAGACUCUGGCAUGUUAAAUAGUCGCGGAAGUGCGUAUGCACUUGCCGAACUGACUUCUUAGAGGGACUAGUGAUUUUAAUUCACACGAGAUUGAGCAAUAACAGGUCUGUGAUGCCCA
rnacentral:rRNA from 1 species